CCUACGGGCGGCAGCAGUGGUGAAUAUUGGGCAAUGGGCGCAAGCCUGACCCAGCAACGCCGCGUGAAGGAAGAAGGCUUUCGGGUUGUAAACUUCUUUUCUCAGGGACGAAGCAAGUGACGGUACCUGAGGAAUAAGCCACGGCUAACUACGUGCCAGCAGCCGCGGUAAUACGUAGGUGGCAAGCGUUAUCCGGAUUUAGUGGGUUUAAAGGGUGCGCAGGGGGCGUGUCAAGUCAGCGGUAAAAUGUAGGGGCUAAACCCCGGACGGCCGUUGAAACUGGCGUGCUCGAGUUGGAGAGAAGUAUGCGGAAUUCGUGGUGUAGCGGUGAAAUGCAUAGAUAGCACGAAGAACCCCGAUUGCGAAGGCAGCAUACCGGCUCCACACUGACGCUGAGGCACGAAAGCGUGGGUAUCGAACAGGAUUAGAUACCCGAGUAGUC
rnacentral:rRNA from 1 species